AUGCGGCGGAUCAUGAUGCCCCGCCAACAGGAGGGCUCCCAUGCGUUAUUUUUUCCAUGUUUUUUGGCAGGAGUACAUUUUUCUUAUGUUUUGUGUCUGUUUGGGGCGACGAGGUGGUCACAUCCUAGAGUUGGAAUAAAGCCCUUUCCUGCUUUGCCUCGGAUUGGAUGGUGCGUCGAGUGCUGGCGGAGGAUGCGUGAAGGUUAUGUUCUGCCGGAUUUGGUUGAAUCAUGCGGCAUGUGCAAGUGCAGUCGGUGCCGCUGUGUCGAGGUCCGUGAAAUUUCGAUUCACCUCCAAAAGUAUUCCCUUCAUUUCUUUUUAGUCUAUUAG
rnacentral:rRNA from 1 species